rnacentral:rRNA from 1 species
GACGAACGCUGGCGGCGUGCCUAACACAUGCAAGUCGAACGGGAGCAAGUGCUUCGGUAUUUGCUUUAGUGGCGAACGGGUGAGUAACGCGUGAAUAACCUGCCUUUCAGAGGGGGACAACAGUUGGAAACGACUGCUAAUACCGCAUGACGCGUUAGAGGUCGCAAUGAUCUUUACGCCAAAGAUUUAUCGCUGAAAGAUGGCCUCGCGUCUGAUUAGCUAGUUGGUGAGGUAACGGCCCACCAAGGCGACGAUCAGUAGCCGGACUGAGAGGUUGACCGGCCACAUUGGGACUGAGAUACGGCCCAG